UAAGCGGAUUGCAUUAUUUCG
rnacentral:piRNA from 1 species